AGAUAAGAAACGAAAAUCGUUCUUAAUUUCGACUUAAGCUUUGGGUGAUGCCUCCCCCCCCUUAUCUU
rnacentral:tRNA from 1 species